AUUGAACGCUGGCGGCAUGCUUUACACAUGCAAGUCGAGCGGUAACAGGGUGCUUGCACCGCUGACGAGUGGCGAACGGGUGAGUAAUGCGUCGGAACGUGCCGAGUAGUGGGGGAUAACGCAGCGAAAGUUGUGCUAAUACCGCAUACGUACUGAGGUAGAAAGUGGGGGACCUUCGGGCCUCACGCUAUUCGAGCGGCCGACGUCUGAUUAGCUAGUAGGUGAGGUAAAGGCUCACCUAGGCGACGAUCAGUAGCGGGUCUGAGAGGAUGAUCCGCCACACUGGGACUGAGACACGGCCCAGACUCCUACGGGAGGCAGCAGUGGGGAAUUUUGGACAAUGGGCGAAAGCCUGAUCCAGCCAUGCCGCGUGUCUGAAGAAGGCCUUCGGGUUGUAAAGGACUUUUGUCAGGGAGGAAAUCCCUAGUGCUAAUAACACUGGGGGAUGACAGUGCCUGAAGAAUAAGCACCGGCUAACUACGUGCCAGCCGCCGCCGUAA
rnacentral:rRNA from 1 species